CACCAGCUUGCUGGUGUGGAUGAGUGGCGAACGGGUGAGUAAUACGUGAGUAACCUGCCCUUGACUCUGGGAUAAGCCCGGGAAACUGGGUCUAAUACUGGAUGCUACAUGUCACCGCAUGGUGGUGUGUGGAAAGGGUUUACUGGUCUUGGAUGGGCUCACGGCCUAUCAGCUUGUUGGUGAGGUAAUGGCUCACCAAGGCGACGACGGGUAGCCGGCCUGAGAGGGUGACCGGCCACACUGGGACUGAGACACGGCCCAGACUCCUACGGGAGGCAGCAGUGGGGAAUAUUGCACAAUGGGCGAAAGCCUGAUGCAGCGACGCCGCGUGAGGGAUGACGGCCUUCGGGUUGUAAACCUCUUUCAGCAGGGAAGAAGCCACAAGUGACGGUACCUGCAGAAGAAGCGCCGGCUAACUACGUGCCAGCAGCCGCGGUAAUACGUAGGGCGCAAGCGUUGUCCGGAAUUAUUGGGCGUAAAGAGCUCGUAGGCGGUUUGUCGCGUCUGCUGUGAAAGCCCGGGGCUUAACCCCGGGUGUGCAGUGGGUACGGGCAGACUAGAGUGCAGUAGGGGAGACUGGAAUUCCUGGUGUAGCGGUGGAAUGCGCAGAUAUCAGGAGGAACACCGAUGGCGAAGGCAGGUCUCUGGGCUGUUACUGACGCUGAGGAGCGAAAGCAUGGGGAGCGAACAGGAUUAGAUACCCUGGUAGUCCAUGCCGUAAACGUUGGGCACUAGGUGUGG
rnacentral:rRNA from 1 species